AAAAAAAACUAACAAAUUAUUCCCAAAAUUCCCCCCAAAAUUUGCCACCCACCCUUUUUCUUUUCCUUCUCUUGCUUGCAGUCGCUCAUCUGUCUCUCAGUCGUGCUCAACGGCGUAGGGCAAGGGAGGUGGCGACGUCCAGCAGCGGCAGCAUCUCUCUCAGUCACUCAUCUCUCUCUCUCUCUCUCUCUCUCAGCAACAUCUCUCUUUCUCUCUCACAAUCUACAUCCGAUUAUGGACUGAUCUCCUCUGUUCUCGAUUCACCUCGCCUUCUAACGAUCAAUAUUUCUCUCUGCUCUCAUCCCUAUUGCGUCUCUCUUGUGUGAGCCAAGUCGAGAAGGAGAUGGACCCUCAAUCGACUGAGAAUGUGUAGUGGUCCUGCCGAGGGUUGGUGUAGUCGAUUCGAGAAUGAUGCUAGAGGAAAAUUGAUGGCUGGAGGAAAAUCGAGGGCUACGCCAACCGCCAUCACCACCACCACUAUAUCCACCACCAUUACAUGAUGUUCUGAUAAAGAGGAGCCUGAUGCUGAAACAGUUACAUCCAUGUUGGGUUUCCAAAGUUAUUGGGAUGCCACUUAUGCAGAUGAAUUGGCGAAUUUUCGUGAGCAUGGCCAUGCUGGUGAAGUUUGGCUUUUAGACAGCAACCAACUCAGUGGCAACAUCCCUUUAACGCUAGGAUCAAUACUGAAUUUGGAGGCCCUGAACUUAUUAAGUGGGUCUGUACCACCGAACCUCAACAACCUAGUAAAUGUCUGAGAGCUGUAAGCAGACAAAACAAAUAUUUUUUUUUUGAUUUAAGCAUCUAUACUUGUUUCCAGGUAGUCAACUUAAUUUGCAUUCGAUUUUCAGCUAAGUAUUACAGACUUUUGAUUUUCUACUUCAGGUUCUUGUCAAACAAUCAACUGUCUGGCUCCUUGCCCAAUCUUACGGGCAUGGCCACUCUUAACUACAUGUCUAUUAGCAAUAAUUCUUUUAACAAGUCAGAUGUUACCGCAUGGUUUUCAACCUUACAAUCUUUGACAACAUUUUUUUUGCAGAUUCGAGAUUUGAUAUAGACAUGUUUGGUAAUUUGGAGGGCAGAUGGUAGCUCAUUUUGUGUUUUUGUUCAUAUUACCUUACAUGUAUUUUGGUUGCAUUGUAAAUUUUAUAUUUUUGUUGGUAUUACAGGACAUGUUGGGUAAUCCGCCAUUGAUAUUUUAUUUUUGUUGAUAUUAGUAGACAUGUUUUUUGUUGGAUAUUAGGAGAUGUGUUUGGUAAUCUGCAUGCGGUUGAUAUUAUACUUGUGUGGAUAUUAGUAGACGUUUUUUGUGGAUAUUAGGAGACAUGUUUAUAAUCCACAUGCAGUUCAUAUUGUAUUUUUGUGGAUAGUGCCGAAA